GCCACUGACACGCAGCACAAUGAUAAUGUCACUGAUUCUACUGAAUCAUCAGCAGACAUCAUUCUGACCCAUUCUGCUAAAUCUCAUUCUGUUCACCCUGGAGAGACUGUCUCCCUCAGCUGUAAGGCCAGUUCAGGCAUUAGUGAUUAUCUCAACUGUUACAUGCAGAAACCUGGAGAAGCUCCUAAACUCCUGGUUUAUUAUGCUUUACUCGUCAGACUGGGAUUCCAUGUCGUUUCAGUGGGAGUGUAUCUGCUUCUCAUUAUACUCUGACUGUCAGUGGAGUCCAGGCUGAAGAUGCUGGAGAUUACUACUGUGAGCAGAGGUACAACCGGAUUCACUGUGUCAGAGCGUUGUACAAAAACCUCCCUCAGCUAAAGAGGAACUGCUCUGACUCAACAGCUGCAGAGCUACGGAGUCUCCUGUAGUCUAAAGUACUCUAAACACCUUUUCAUCAAAAUAUGACACUACAAUUCAAUAAUGGAAUUGGUUAGACGUCUAUGGACUAUGUUACUGUAUAUAUCUCUCAAUGUAUUCUGCAUAAAUGGACAUUUGUGUAAACACACUGGGACCGCUAAGGAAAUGGAGCUGUAAGAAAUGCUUGAUUUUGCAGGAAAUGUUGAACAACAUUCAGAAAAUGUUGAGAUAUGAGUGAUAUGUGACUUUGUUUGUUGUACUCAGUCAGUUGGAAAUGUGCUUAGAGUUUUGAAACAUGAGCCAUUUUGAUGAUUUGUUUUGGUUUUUAUGCUUAGAUUUCUGAAACUGUACCAAAUACUUGAUUGAAAAACACCAUAAAGUAAAACACCCACUUUAUCACCCAAA